UGAAGACAAAUUCUCAUCCAACUUUCAUUCUUUUCCUUUUGGAAGAAAAAGAGGAAUUUUACUAGAAUUUUGAGGUUGAAGAAGAGGAGGAGAACUCAAGCAAAGUGUAUCCAUGACUUAAUUUUAGUUCAUUCUGCACAUCACUGGUUUUUAAUUCGGUUUGAACUCUUCAAAAGGAAUUAAGAGGGCAGUUGGUUUUCACUCGAAAUCAGGAGGUCUCUGGUUUUUCUUGUAUUUCAGAGUGUACCGGUGGAGUUAGAAUCUCUGUUUAGUAUGGUUGGAUAGCUUAUUCAAUUUACCACAACUUUCAUGAAGAAAUCGUGAACCAAACACGACUAAAAAUCAGUUAAAUUGUAGGGACAAGUUAAAGAGGUCGUGUGCGCGCGAUUCUUGAAGUGGUUCUGUUUCGAGGGUUAUCUGAGUUUAUGAACGGGGAAUCAGAUUUACAUGUCUUCAGGCCGAGAAGAAUUAAACCGAGCUUAUAAACCAAGGAUCUAGCCCAAGACGGUUCGAGUUUUCGGUGCCUGAUAGACUGCCUUAGUCUGCUGAAGCUCCAUUAUCGAUUGCCAGUACGUGUUUUGAGUUUUGCAUAGAGUCUGUUGUGUUAAUGAUGUAUAUACACCCUUGUAUGUUAUAGAUACUCCACAGUUUGUAUAAGCUUUAGAAGCUGUAGUUAUGCAAAUUUUUUGUUGGUUAUAUUUUGAUUAAGGUGUCUUUAGGUUUAUCCGUGAAAUCAGUAAAUUUUGAAGUACACUUCAUGUAUGUGUUUGACUAGCCUAGGAUCCGCUGUGUUUUGUUGCAUGUAUAGUAAUUUAUAUACUAGAUUGGCAAGUUCAUCACAUGAAAGUUUUAAGCAGAGUCCACAGAGACUGGUACAGAAAAGCAUUGUUCGUCGGCUUCACGUCAUCUUUCGGUCUAAGGUAGCAGGUAGUCCGAGAGGGGGUGUGACACAACCGUUUUCUCAGGCUCUACAUUUUUCUUUUUUCAACUUCAUUUGGUUUUUGAGUUGCUCCUUCAUCUUUCUUUUGAACCUCAACUGCUUCAUCUGCUUUAUUUAGCUUCCUUCUAUUUAUGGGUGUAUGUUAUUUGGGUAUUUUCCAGAAUGCAUAAGAUUCUUCAUUUUCAAUCAAAAUAGAGGGCUGAGAUUCUUCAAUUAA